GAUGAACGCUGGCGGCGUGCCUAAUACAUGCAAGUCGAGCGAACGGACGAGAAGCUUGCUUUUCUGAUGUUAGCGGCGGACGGGUGAGUAACACGUGGAUAACCUACCUAUAAGACUGGGAUAACUUCGGGAAACCGGAGCUAAUACCGGAUAAUAUUUUGAACCGCAUGGUUCAAAAGUGAAAGACGGUCUUGCUGUCACUUAUAGAUGGAUCCGCGCUGCAUUAGCUAGUUGGUAAGGUAACGGCUUACCAAGGCAACGAUGCAUAGCCGACCUGAGAGGGUGAUCGGCUACACUGGAGCUGAGACACGGUCCAGACUCCUACGGGAGGCAGCAGUAGGGAAUCUUCCGCAAUGGGCGAAAGCCUGACGGAGCAACGCCGCGUGAGUGAUGAAGGUCUUCGGAUCGUAAAACUCUGUUAUUAGGGAAGAACAUAUGUGUAAGUAACUGUGCACAUCUUGACGGUACCUAAUCAGAAAGCCACGGCUAACUACGUG
rnacentral:rRNA from 1 species